rnacentral:rRNA from 2 species
AUGGCAAUGAUACGUAGCCGACCUUGAGGAGGGUAAUCGGCCACAUUGGGACUGAGACACGGCCCAAACUCCUACGGGAGGCAGCAGUAGGGAAUCUUCCACAAUGGACGAAAGUCUGAUGGAGCAACGCCGCGUGAGUGAAGAAGGGUUUCGGCUCGUAAAACUCUGUUGUUAAAGAAGAACAUAUCUGAGAGUAACUGUUCAGGUAUUGACGGUAUUUAACCAGAAAGCCACGGCUAACUACGUGCCAGCAGCCGCGGUAAUACGUAGGUGGCAAGCGUUGUCCGGAUUUAUUGGGCGUAAAGCGAGCGCAGGCGGUUUUUUAAGUCUGAUGUGAAAGCCUUCGGCUCAACCGAAGAAGUGCAUCGGAAACUGGGAAACUUGAGUGCAGAAGAGGACAGUGGAACUCCAUGUGUAGCGGUGAAAUGCGUAGAUAUAUGGAAGAACACCAGUGGCGAAGGCGGCUGUCUGGUCUGUAACUGACGCUGAGGCUCGAAAGUAUGGGUAGCAAACAGGAUUAGAUACCCUGGUAGUCCAUACCGUAAACGAUGAAUGCUAAGUGUUGGAGGGUUUCCGCCCUUCAGUGCUGCAGCUAACGCAUUAAGCAUUCCGCCUGGGGAGUACGGCCGCAAGGCUGAAACUCAAAGGAAUUGACGGGGGCCCGCACAAGCGGUGGAGCAUGUGGUUUAAUUCGAAGCUACGCGAAGAACCUUACCAGGUCUUGACAUACUAUGCAAAUCUAAGAGAUUAGACGUUCCCUUUCGGGGACAUGGAUACAGGUGGUGCAUGGUUGUCGUCAGCUCGUGUCGUGAGAUGUUGGGUUAAGUCCCGCAACGAGCGCAACCCUUAUUAUCAGUUGCCAGCAUUAAGUUGGGCACCUCUGGUGAGACUGCCGGUGACAAACCGGAGAAAGGUGGGGAUGACGUCAAAUCCAUCA